UACUCUUUUUCCUGCAAUGAAGGUCAUCAUUGUUAUUCCCCUUAACAAACAUUGUUCUAUAGUGGUGAAUAUUAAAGUAAUAUUAUAAUAUAACAAUACAGUCUUGUGCAUGAAGAGGGAUCAGCUCCUAGAAGUACUAAUGCAGCCCUUUGGAGAAGGAACAAGAAUAUUUACAGUACAGUAGAGUCUCACUUAUCCAACACUCGCUUAUCCAACAUUCUGGAUUAUCCAACGCAUUUUUGUAGUCAAUAUUUUUCCAAUAUAUCGUGAUAUUUUGAACAACAUUGAGGCUGGGUGGCCAUCUGUCAGGGAUGUUUUGCUUGUGCUUUGGUGCACAAAGGCAGAAGGGGAUUGGACUAAAUGGCCCAAGGGGUUUCUUCCAACCCUCUUUAUUAUUAUUAUUAUUAUUAUUAUUAUUAUUAUUAUUAUUAUUAACAUAGAGGCUGGGUGGCCAUCUGUCAGGGGUGCUUUGCUUGUGCUUUCGGCGCACAAAAGCAGAAGGAGUUGGACUAAAUGGCCCAAGGAGUCUCUUCCAACCCUCUUUAUUAUUAUGAUUAUGAUUAUGAUUAUGAUGAUUAUUAAUAACAUUGAGGCUGGGUGGCCAUCUGUCAGGGGUGCUUAGCUUGUGCUUUUGGUGCACAAAGGCAGAAGGGGGUUGGACACAAUGGCCCAAAGGGUCUUUUUCAACCCACUUUUUAUUGUUGUUGUUGUUGUUGUCAUUAUUAUUAUUAAUUAUUAUUGCUCGGUGGCCAACAAUAGUCCGGCCCUCCAAUGGUCCGAAGGAUCGUGAACUGGCCCCCUGUUUAAAAAGUUUGGGGACCUCUGAUCUACAGGGUAAAAUGAAUGCUGUUUCAUGCCACUUGAACUGCCAGGGUUCAGUGCUAUUUAUUCCUGAGCGUUUGGGGAGGCACUAAGCACUCUUUGAAGAAAAGGUUGAUUAAGAUCUUGUAAAACAACUUCUAGGAAACCAUGAAAAUGAACAAAAUCUGGCUACCAGUAUUUAAAAGACUCUAAAAUCAGGACAGUAAAUAUAGAGCAACACUCAAAAACAGGGGAAUUCCAGGCAAGAAACAAUCAGGGCCGGCUAUCACUUCCCAACAAAUGAUUCCCCCAGGCAGGAAGCAGCCAGGCUU
rnacentral:lncRNA from 1 species